rnacentral:rRNA from 1 species
CGAAGCACUGUGGAAAGAGACUCGGUCAAUUGAAACUUGACUAGUGGCGGACGGGUGAGUAAUGCAUGAGCAACCUGCCCUGGAGAGGGGGACAACAGCUGGAAACGGCUGCUAAUACCGCAUCGAAGUCACCGGAAGGCAUCUUCUGGUGACCAAAGAUUUAUCGCUCUGGGAUGGGCUCAUGUCUGAUUAGUUAGUUGGCGGGGCAACGGCCCACCAAGACUUCGAUCAGUAGCCGGACUGAGAGGUUGAACGGCCACAUUGGGACUGAGAUACGGCCCAGACUCCUACGGGAGGCAGCAGGUGGGGAAUAUUGGGCAAUGGGCGCAAGCCCUGACCCAGCAACGCCGCGUGAAGGAAGAAGGUCGUUUCGGGUUAGUAAACUUCUUUUAUCAGGGACGAAGAAAGUGACGGUACCUGAUGAAUAAGCCACGGCUAACUACGUGCCAGCAGCCGC